UACGGAGGGUGCAAGCGUUAUCCGGAUUUACUGGGUUUAAAGGGUGCGUAGGCGGGCUUUUAAGUCAGUGGUGAAAACUCCGAGCUCAACUCGGAAACUGCCAUUGAUACUAUUAGUCUUGAAUUUAGUUGAGGUUGGCGGAAUGUGUCGUGUAGCGGUGAAAUGCUUAGAUAUGACACAGAACACCGAUUGCGAAGGCAGCUGGCUAAACUAAAAUUGACGCUGAGGCACGAAAGUGUGGGGAUCAAACAGG
rnacentral:rRNA from 1 species